AAAAAGAUUUGUCGUGAGAAGUCAGCAGAAGCCGUAGUAGGCAUGGUUCUGAAAUGGGCUGUGCCAAAGGGC
rfam:Lachnospiraceae bacterium 3-1 genomic scaffold acPFp-supercont1.21, whole genome shotgun sequence.